rnacentral:rRNA from 1 species
GGGUUGUGAGGUUAAGUGACUAAGCGUACACGGUGGAUGCCUAGGCAGUCAGAGGCGAUGAAGGGCGUGCUAAUCUGCGAAAAGCGUCGGUAAGGUGAUAUGAACCGUUAUAACCGGCGAUACCCGAAUGGGGAAACCCAGUGUGUUUCGACACACUAUCAUGUCAUGAAUACAUAGUGGCAUGAGGCGAACCGGGGGAACUGAAACAUCUAAGUACCCCGAGGAAAAGAAAUCAACCGAGAUUCCCCCAGUAGCGGCGAGCGAACGGGGAGGAGCCCAGAACCUGAAUCGGCUUGUGUGUUAGUGGAAGCGUCUGGAAAGUCGCGCAGCAAAGGGUGAUAGCCCCGUACACUAAAAUGCACAGGUCGUGAGUUCGAUGAGUAGGGCGGGACACGUGACAUCCUGUCUGAAUAUGGGGGGACCAUCCUCCAAGGCUAAAUACUCCUGACUGACCGAUAGUGAACCAGUACCGUGAGGGAAAGGCGAAAAGAACCCCGGCGAGGGGAGUGAAAUAGAACCUGAAACCGUGUACGUACAAGCAGUGGGAGCACCUUCGUGGUGUGACUGCGUACCUUUUGUAUAAUGGGUCAGCGACUUAUAUUUUGUAGCAAGGUUAACCGUAUAGGGGAGCCGUAGGGAAACCGAGUCUUAACUGGGCGAAUAGUUGCAAGGUAUAGACCCGAAACCCGGUGAUCUAGCCAUGGGCAGGUUGAAGGUUGGGUAACACUAACUGGAGGACCGAACCGACUAAUGUUGAAAAAUUAGCGGAUGACUUGUGGCUGGGGGUGAAAGGCCAAUCAAACCGGGAGAUAGCUGGUUCUCCCCGAAAGCUAUUUAGGUAGCGCCUCGUGAACUCAUCUUCGGGGGUAGAGCACUGUUUCGGCUAGGGGGCCAUCCCGGCUUACCAAACCGAUGCAAACUCCGAAUACCGAAGAAUGUUAUCACGGGAGACACACGGCGGGUGCUAACGUCCGUCGUGAAGAGGGAAACAACCCAGACCGCCAGCUAAGGUCCCAAAGUCAUGGUUAAGUGGGAAACGAUGUGGGAAGGCACAGACAGCCAGGAUGUUGGCUUAGAAGCAGCCAUCAUUUAAAGAAAGCGUAAUAGCUCACUGGUCGAGUCGGCCUGCGCGGAAGAUGUAACGGGGCUAAACCAUGCACCGAAGCUGCGGCAGCGACGCUUAGGCGUUGUUGGGUAGGGGAGCGUUCUGUAAGCCGUUGAAGGUGGCCUGUGAGGGUUGCUGGAGGUAUCAGAAGUGCGAAUGCUGACAUAAGUAACGAUAAAGCGGGUGAAAAGCCCGCUCGCCGGAAGACCAAGGGUUCCUGUCCAACGUUAAUCGGGGCAGGGUGAGUCGACCCCUAAGGCGAGGCUGAAAAGCGUAGUCGAUGGGAAACAGGUUAAUAUUCCUGUACUUGGUGUUACUGCGAAGGGGGGACGGAGAAGGCUAGGCUGGCCGGGCGACGGUUGUCCCGGUUUAAGCGUGUAGGGGGUGUGACCUGGUAAAUCCGGUUGCAUAUCAACCCUGAGGCGUGAUGACGAUGCACUACGGUGCAGAAGUAGUUGAUGCCCUGCUUCCAGGAAAAUCCUCUAAGCUCCAGGUAACAUUGAAUCGUACCCCAAACCGACACAGGUGGUCAGGUAGAGAAUACCAAGGCGCUUGAGAGAACUCGGGUGAAGGAACUAGGCAAAAUGGUGCCGUAACUUCGGGAGAAGGCACGCUGGCAUGUAGGUGAAGUCCCUUGCGGAUGGAGCUGAAGCCAGUCGAAGAUACCAGCUGGCUGCAACUGUUUAAUAAAAACACAGCACUGUGCAAACACGAAAGUGGACGUAUACGGUGUGACGCCUGCCCGGUGCUGGAAGGUUAAUUGAUGGGGUCAGCCGCAAGGCGAAGCUCUUGAUCGAAGCCCCAGUAAACGGCGGCCGUAACUAUAACGGUCCUAAGGUAGCGAAAUUCCUUGUCGGGUAAGUUCCGACCUGCACGAAUGGCGUAAUGAUGGCCAGGCUGUCUCCACCCGAGACUCAGUGAAAUUGAACUCGCUGUGAAGAUGCAGUGUACCCGCGGCAAGACGGAAAGACCCCGUGAACCUUUACUAUAGCUUGACACUGAACAUUGAGCCUUGAUGUGUAGGAUAGGUGGGAGGCUUUGAAGCGUGGACGCCAGUCUGCGUGGAGCCAUCCUUGAAAUACCACCCUUUAAUGUUUGAUGUUCUAACUCUGCCCCAUAAUCUGGGGUGAGGACAGUGUCUGGUGGGUAGUUUGACUGGGGCGGUCUCCUCCCAAAGAGUAACGGAGGAGCACGAAGGUUAGCUAAUCACGGUCGGACAUCGUGAGGUUAGUGCAAAGGCAUAAGCUAGCUUGACUGCGAGAGUGACGGCUCGAGCAGGUACGAAAGUAGGUCUUAGUGAUCCGGUGGUUCUGAAUGGAAGGGCCAUCGCUCAACGGAUAAAAGGUACUCCGGGGAUAACAGGCUGAUACCGCCCAAGAGUUCAUAUCGACGGCGGUGUUUGGCACCUCGAUGUCGGCUCAUCACAUCCUGGGGCUGAAGUAGGUCCCAAGGGUAUGGCUGUUCGCCAUUUAAAGUGGUACGCGAGCUGGGUUUAGAACGUCGUGAGACAGUUCGGUCCCUAUCUGCCGUGGGCGUUGGAAGAUUGAGAGGGGUUGCUCCUAGUACGAGAGGACCGGAGUGAACGCACCACUGGUGUUCGGGUUGUCAUGCCAAUGGCAUUGCCCGGUAGCUAAGUGCGGAAAAGAUAAGCGCUGAAAGCAUCUAAGCGCGAAACUUGCCUCAAGAUGAGUCUUCCCUGGGCCUUUAAGGCCCCUGAAGGAACGUUUAAGACUAAGACGUUGAUAGGCUGGGUGUGUAAGUGCAGCGAUGCAUUGAGCUAACCAGUACUAAUGAUCCGUGAGGCUUAACCUUACAACACCGAAGGUGUUUUAG